UCCGCCGCACGGCGCCGGACUCCGCACACUGCGCCCUCUACCGGCGGGGCCUGGGGAAGCUCCUCCGAACACAUCCGCUGCAGCGCACCAUCAACUUGUAUGUAGUUGCUGGGUCGUCCCUUACGCUCAUGCUUGUAGCUCCUAAACCCCGAUCUCAAAAGGAAUAUGCAGAGACAAAUUGAGAGCUCCUCAAACAGGGAGGUUUUAUGUUUCACUCCUGGACAAAUAGUCAUAGUGAGGGGACUUCAGAGAUGAUCAAAAGUGGGUAUAGUACUUGGAAAGAUUAAAGACAGAACUGGACCCCCCUCUCUACACAGUGGAGAUUGUACCUGAUGUCACCUGGAGAUGACACGUCGAUCAAUUGAGGAGAACAGUGGCAAUUGUUAGAGAAGGAAGAUGGUCACAGCUGUCAGAUCCACUCCCCUGCCGUCCCAGAGUCACCCACCACAGAGGAGGCUCAGAACCCGGUACUGUUUCACAACCACAAAUCUCACCUGCCAGAGUUAUCACCGACUCCACUUCUAUCAGGUACUUUCUGGAGCUUCCUCCAACUAAAGAUAUUCAUUGAGGGUUGUUAUUUUGUAUGGGUGUGGUAAACUGGACACGCGCCUCUGCUGACUGCUCCUGUGGCUCCUCCCACGGACCCCGGUAUAAAGGUGAUUGGGGCAUAGCUCCUCCCUCAGUCUUCGACAUGUCGUGCUCCCCUUUUGCUGUUAAUAAAAGCCAAUUGCUCAC